GAUGAACGCUGGCGGCGUGCCUAAUACAUGCAAGUCGAGCGAACAGACGAGGAGCUUGCUCCUCUGACGUUAGCGGCGGACGGGUGAGUAACACGUGGAUAACCUACCUAUAAGACUGGGAUAACUUCGGGAAACCGGAGCUACUACCGGCUAAUAUAUUGAACCGCAUGGUUCAAUAGUGAAAGACGGUUUUGCUGUCACUUAUAGAUGGAUCCGCGCCGCAUUAGCUAGUUGGUAAGGUAACGGCUUACCAAGGCAACGAUGCGUAGCCGACCUGAGAGGGUGAUCGGCCACACUGGAACUGAGACACGGUCCAGACUCCUACGGGAGGCAGCAGUAGGGAAUCUUCCGCAAUGGGCGAAAGCUUGACGGAGCAACGCCGCGUGAGUGAUGAAGGUCUUCGGAUCGUAAAACUCUGUUAUUAGGGAAGAACAAAUGUGUAAGUAACUAUGCACGUCUUGACGGUACCUAAUCAGAAAGCCACGGCUAACUACGUG
rnacentral:rRNA from 1 species